GUAGGGGGCGAGCGUUGUCCGGAAUGACUGGGCGUAAAGGGUGUGUAGGUGGUUUGAUAAGUUAGAUGUGUAAUACCCGGGCUUAACUCGGGUGCUGCAUCUAAAACUGUUAGACUUGAGUACUGGAGAGGAUAGUGGAAUUCCUAGUGUAGCGGUGGAAUGCGUAGAUAUUAGGAGGAACAUCAGUGGCGAAGGCGACUAUCUGGACAGCAACUGACACUGAGGCACGAAAGCGUGGGGAGCAAACAGGAUUAGAUACCCUGGUAGUCCACGCUGUAAACGAUGGAUACUAGAUGCAGGAGGUAUUCACUCCUUCUGUGUCGCAGCUAACGCAAUAAGUAUCCCGCCUGGGGAGU
rnacentral:rRNA from 1 species